AGGAAGGGGUGACUGGUGACAGAGUGAGGGAAUGACUGGUGACAGAGUGAGAGAGGGGGUGACUAGUGACCGAAUGAGGGAGGGAGAGGGUGACUAGUGACAGAGUGAGGAAGGGGGUGACACAGUGAUAGUCACCCCAUUCCUCCCUCUGUCACUAAUCACCACCUCCCUCACUCUCACUAGUCACCCCUUCCCUCCCUCACUCUGUCACUAGUCACACCCUCCCUCUCUCUGUCACUAGUCACACCCUCCCUCUCU